ACCUCCUGACAAACCGUUACCUCUGCCACCUGUCAGUCAGCCGUGCUGCUCCGCCGCUGACUCUAGGACAGUUAAGGAUGACAGCACACGAUGACAGAUCACCUAAAGGAAGACAACUUAUCACAAGCAGAUGUAGCCUACCUCCGUCUUUGCAAUUAUAUUUAAAAAAUAUAAAGAAAGCUGCAGUGUGAGCUUUAUAUAGUCCAAAAACCCAACAAAUAAGCACAAAUUGUGACUGAAAAUUGCCUUAAGUGUACCUUAAAAUCUGGGUAAUCCUUUGACUCCAUUGCUUUAUCUUUGUUUUUUAUUUUAUAGUUUUUUACCAUUUAUUUUAUGUAUUUAAUGCAUUCUUUAUUUAAAAUCCACUCGUGACAGGCCUGCAAAAGCUCUUUCAUCCAUGCCUCCAUAGUUCUGCUCUCUUUUCAACAUAUGAAGCUCUUUGUAACUUUUUUCACAAAGUGUUAUACAAAUAAAGUUUUCAUUCUGCGUCCUUGA